rnacentral:rRNA from 1 species
AUGGGCGAAAGCCUGAUGCAGCAACGCCGCGUGAACGAUGAAGGUCUUCGGAUCGUAAAGUUCUGUUGCAGGGGAAGAUAAUGACGGUACCCUGUGAGGAAGCCCCGGCUAACUACGUGCCAGCAGCCGCGGUAAUACGUAGGGGGCUAGCGUUAUCCGGAUUUACUGGGCGUAAAGGGUGCGUAGGUGGUCCUUCAAGUCGGUGGUUAAAGGCUACGGCUCAACCGUAGUAAGCCGCCGAAACUGGAGGACUUGAGUGCAGGAGAGGAAAGUGGAAUUCCCAGUGUAGCGGUGAAAUGCGUAGAUAUUGGGAGGAACACCAGUAGCGAAGGCGGCUUUCUGGACUGCAACUGACACUGAGGCACGAAAGCGUGGGUAGCAAACAGGAUUAGAUACCCUGGUAGUCCACGCUGUAAACGAUGAGUACUAGGUGUCGGGGGUUACCCCCCUCGGUGCCGCAGCUAACGCAUUAAGUACUCCGCCUGGGGAGUACGCACGCCAGUGUGAAACUCAAAGGAAUUGACGGGGACCCGCACAAGUAGCGGAGCAUGUGGUUUAAUUCGAAGCAACGCGAAGAACCU